UUCAUAGUUGUGGUCUAUAUGUGAUGUCACAGAACAGCCAGGCAGAGGAGGGAUGAGAGAGCCCGAGCCUGAGGGAGGGUCUCAGGUACUGAAUUAGGGAACUCACUGUGAGGAAGAAUGUGAAGCUGGAAAAGAAUCACGUCCCCUUCUUUCAGGCAGAUCACUGGGUUUGGAAUAUGGAGAUGAAUGCCAGGGUCCUGAGGGACAGAGUGCUCCAGGCCUGCAGUCCGGUGAUACCUUUGUAGCCAGGGGCUGGAUACAGGAGCAGUUUCAGCACUUCUGGAGCCCUCACCUCCCCAAAGACGGUCUUCCUACAUGGCCUUCUGUGGUCCCUGCCUGACUCUCACCUUUUGAACACCAAGACAGGGCCGAGAAGUUUCUGAGGGGCCAUCCCUUGCUGAAAGAAUGCAGCCAUAGCCUUUACCCCCUUGCACUCGCUCUGGGAAAGCCUGGGCUUGGUAUUCCUCCUCUGCUUACCAAGGAGGAAAGAGUCAAGCAUGUCCACUCUGGAGAUGACAAAGCCAAAGAUGCCACGGGGACCACAUUGGACCAGAUGGACCCUGGCAUUCUCUUGGAAGAACUGGUCUGGGCCCAGAGUGCUUGAUACUUCCUGAGAACAUACAGCACAGCAUUAUAUACCUGGGGAGGGCCAGAGGGGAAGCGAGGUUUGCAGAGAUGGAUGGCCAGAAACCCAGACUGAGCCCUUUGGCACAGCCCCUGGUGAUGCUGAGUUCAGGGAUAUCCACUGUCCACAUCCCUCAGGAUUUGUCUCCUUCCUUACUGAAACUUGCCCAGGGGGAUUCCUAUGCCCAGGGCUCCUCUUUAUCUUCAGCAAACACCCCUGACUCUUGUCCCUGUCCUGGGUCAUCAAUUGCUCCUUUUCUAUUUGCAAAGUCCUACAAACAGAACAACUUCUUCAGAACAAUCAUCUUACUAUCACCCCAAAUCUGCUGUCCAGUGUCACACCAGUGAUCUCCCCACCCUUUCAGUGGCAAGUAGACACAGCCAUCUAGAACCUUCUGGUAGGCCAACAUAAGGGUGAGCAGGACCUGAACUGCAUCUGGGCCCUGGUCUUCUGCCCCUCCCACCCUGAUGAAGCAUCGAGACCCUGAAGAAAGCUUCAGCCAACACCAUUGUAGCCAAGAGAAGGUCCGGCCUGUGGCCAGAGGUCCAGCCUUUGAUAAGAGGCUCAGGCUCAGUUCCAGCAGGGCUCACACCAUUUCUGUGACCACAGUGAGUGGUUUCGUGCCCCUGGGCUUCACUUAACACUCUAUAAAGUCAAGCUGUUGCUUUCUCGGCUCUCUUAA